CCCAUGCUCUGUCUCCAUCUGCAACUUGUAGUAGUACAUUGCUUUGGGAUUGUUUUUGCAAGCUGCCUGAGCCAGCAGGCAGAGCUGAUGGUCUUUCUCUCACUGGCAGAAGGGUCUCUUCUUCCUCGUAGCCAACUAAAUUCUUUCCCUCCAACUUUGAGUAAAGUACCAGUUUAAUCUCAAACACUGACUAAAACCCUAUUUCAAUCUUAAAUUUAAAAAUCACAUCAUGCUUUUUGAAAAAAACCCCAGGCCUUCAUUAUCAUGAAGUGGGGAGUUAAUCAAAGGAUGUUUUACAUUUUCCAGGAAAGGAACCUCUGAAGCAUUUCCACUUAACUUGCUGGAAUUUAAGGAACAAGCUAAUUAAUUUGUGGCUUGUGGAAGAACUCAAGGGCUUAUUGUAAAUUCUUAAAGACCCUUUAAAGUGAUUUAAAUGUUACAAAAAGUACUGAGACACCACCCUUGGAGACUGAAAAUACUUUAUUUUCUGCAGAGGGGCUUGAGUUGCCCUCUCAGCCUCAGUAAAGCAGCAUGACUUGGACCAGCUAGCCCGGGGUUGGAAGGCAGAUGUUACCCUACACUUGUUCAUGGUUGUACAGGCAUUUACAUGGACCCUUUCUCACACACACACAUUUGUCUUGAAGCUUGUCAGACUUCAUUGGAAGACAAACUUUGCACUAAACUGCUAUGCUGAAUUAGGUCCUUAUAUGUGGCUUCUCUGCAGAGAAGAGUAAAUGUCAGCAGUUACAGCUGUGAUUCUCUGCCACGUAAAUUGAAAUAAUACCAGAAUUGAGUGAGAACGCCUUCUGCAAGAGAUGAUAGAAAGCUACCAUAUCCCUCCUCAGUCAUUGAGCUCCAGAUAUUCUGGGCCCUGAUUUUGGAGGGAUCCAUCACAUUGGAUGGAUGUGAAAACAGCUGGCUCUUCUGACUGAGUGGAAGGAUGCCUCUUUGCUCUUCAGCAAGAGUAGGCAAAGGUUUAUAUAAUCUGUCAAACUCUGUUAACACACAAGCAAAAAGGUCUCUCCAUUGUCAAAUUUCAAGAAGAAAUGAGAGGAGCAACUUCCAUUAGUUCUGAGAAGUGGAGACAGCCAGGAGCUGAAGAUAAAAAUACCUAAUCACUUCUAACCCAAAGAUUCCUGAAACAUAUGGACACUUUGAAAAGAAAAUGUGAAGUCAGAAUUGGAGAGCUAAUA